rnacentral:lncRNA from 10 species
AUUGUUCCGCCGGUCGCGCCGGAGCUGGGUUGCUCCUGCUCCCGUCUCCAAGUCCUGGUACCUCCUUCAAGCUGGGAGAGGGCUCUAGUCCCUGGUUCUGAACACUCUGGGGUUCUCGGGUGCAGGCCGCCAUGAGCGCACGCCACCACACCCAGCUAAUUUUUUUUUCUUUCUUUUUUUUUCUUUUUUUUUUUGUAGAGACCGGGUUUUGCUAUGUUGCCCAGGCUGAUCUCCAACUCCUAAACUCAAAUGGUCCACACACCUUGGUCUCCCAGAGUGCUGGGAUUCCAGGCAUCAGCCUCGGUGUCAGCUCUCCUUAGCCUAUAAAUAUGUGCAAGUCCCUCAGCUCUUAAAAGCAAAACCAAAACAAUCUUAACUUCCCUCUAGCUAGCACCUUCCCUCUUUUCUCACUUUAUGGUGAAUCUUCUUGAAAAAUCUUCAUUCCUUGCCUGGACUUCUUAAUACCUAAUCAUUUACUCAAGAAGUCCCAGUCCUUGCCUGGACCUACCAGUGCUCUGAAAAUCCGCUCACCUACGUCUCAUCUUAUUGGACUCUCUGUGGCAUUCACCCCUGGCUCAUGCUGUGAAUAU